rnacentral:misc_RNA from 1 species
GAUGAAGAACGUAGUGAAAUGCGAUAAGUAAUGUGAAUUGCAGAAUUCAGUGAAUCAUCGAAUCUUUGAACGCACCUUGCGCCCUUUGGACUUCUGAAGGGCAUGCCUGUUUGAGUAUCAUGAACACCUCAACUCCUUAUGGUCUUCCAUGAUGAGCUUGGACUUUGGGGGUUUUGCUGGCCUACAGUCAGCUCCUCUAAAAUAAAUCAGCUUACCGGUGUUUGGUGGGUAUCAUGGGUGUGAUAACUAUCUACGCUCGUGGUUUUCCACCAGGUAACCUUCAGCAGUGGAGGUUCACUGGAGCUCAUAGAUGUCUCUCCUCAGCGAGGACAGCCCUUUGAAUGUUUGAUCUCAAAUCAGGUAGGACUACCCGCUGAACUUAAGCAUAUCAAUAAGCGGAGGA